GGUCAAGUGACCAAGGGCUUACGAUGGAUACCUAGGCAUUCAGAAGCGAUGAAGGGCGCGAUAACCGGCGAUAUGCUUCGGGGAGCUGGAUACAAGCUUUGAUCCGGAGGUUCCCGAAUGAGGUAACUCCUUGUACUAUCUGUGAAUCCAUAAACAGAUUAAGAGCGAACUCGGUGAACUGAAACAUCUUAGUAACCGAAGGAAAAGAAAGCAAAAGCGAUUCCCUUAGUAGCGGCGAGCGAACGGGGAGAAGCCUAAACCAACAAGCUUGUCUUGUUGGGGUUGUGGGACAGCAUAACGGUAUAGUAAGAAUUAGGUGAAGCAACUGAAUAUUGCACCAAAGAGGGUGAAAGUCCCGUAAUCGAAAAUUUAAACUAGCCAGCUGUAUCCCAAGUAGCAUGGGGCACGUGAAAUCCCGUGUGAAUCAGCGAGGACCACCUCGUAAGGCUAAAUAUUCCUGAAUGACCGAUAGCGUAACAGUACCGUGAGGGAAAGGUGAAAAAGAACCCCUGGCCUGGGAGUGAAAUAGAACAUGAAAUCGUAAGCCUACAAGCAGUAGAAGGACGACUUAACGUCUAACUGCGUGCCUGUUGAAGAAUGAGCCGGCGACUUAUAGGUAGUGGCAGGUUAAGGUAAUGAUUUACUGGAGCCAUAGCGAAAGCGAGUUUUAAUAGAGCGUUUAGUCACUAUUUAUAGACCCGAACCCGGGUGAUCUAACCAUGGCCAGGGUGAAGCUUAGGUAAAACUAAAUGGAGGCCCGAACCGAUCGAUGUUGAAAAAUCGCCGGAUGAGUUGUGGUUAGGGGUGAAAUGCCAAUCGAACCCGGAGCUAGCUGGUUCUCCCCGAAAUGCGUUGAGGCGCAGCGGUUGAUGUUAUAAUUUAGGGGUAAAGCACUGUUUCGGUGCGGGCUACGAGAGUGGUACCAAAUCGAGGCAAACUCUGAAUACUAAAUGAAUAGUCAACCAGUCAGACAGUGGGGGAUAAGCUCCAUUGUCAAGAGGGAAACAGCCCAGACCACCAUCUAAGGCCCCUAAAUAAUAGCUAAGUGGGAAAGGAGGUGGAAGUGCUUAGACAACCAGGAGGUUUGCUUAGAAGCAGCAAUCCUUUAAAGAGUGCGUAAUAGCUCACUGGUCAAGCGCUUCUGCGCCGAAAAUGAAUGGGACUAAGCUAUUUGCCGAAGCUGUGGGAUGUGCUAUAUAUCAUAUGUUAUAUAGACAUCGGUAGGGGAGCGUUCCGUCAUAGGGUGAAGCACUAACGUAAGUGAGUGUGGACGAAACGGAAGUGAGAAUGUCGGCUUGAGUAGCGAAAACAUUGGUGAGAAUCCAAUGCCCCGAAAACCCAAGGGUUCCUCCGCAAGGCUCGUCCACGGAGGGUGAGUCAGGACCUAAGGCGAGGCCGAAAGGCGUAGUCGAUGGAUAACGGAUUAAUAUUCCCGUACCAUUCGUAGUUAGUGUUGAGGGACGGAGAAGGCUAAAACCUGCUGGAUGUUGGUAGCCACUUUUUGUGGCAUUAUCAGUGCAAGUGUCCAAAGGCGUUGAGAGGUGGAGAAAACACCUUGAGCUAAGGCACGAGUCGUCUUGUAUAAAAUUCAUUUUUUAUACCGGAUUGGUUAACGUCACGCUUCCAAGAAAAGCUCAAAACACGUUAAGCUACGAAUGCUUGUACCCCAAACCGACACAGGUGGGUAGGUAGAGAAUACUAAGGGGCGCGAGAUAACUCUCUCUAAGGAACUCGGCAAAAUGGCCCCGUAACUUCGGGAGAAGGGGUGCCCUUUUUUAAGGGCCACAGUGACCAGGCCCAGGCGACUGUUUACCAAAAACACAGGUCUCCGCUAAUUCGUAAGAUGAUGUAUGGGGGCUGACGCCUGCCCAGUGCCGGAAGGUUAAGGAAGUUGGUCAGCUGUAAAGCAAAGCUAGCGACUGAAGCCCCGGUGAACGGCGGCCGUAACUAUAACGGUCCUAAGGUAGCGAAAUUCCUUGUCGGGUAAGUUCCGACCCGCACGAAAGGCGUAACGAUCUGGGCGCUGUCUCAGAGAGAGACUCGGCGAAAUAGACAUGUCUGUGAAGAUGCGGACUACCUGCACCAGGACAGAAAGACCCUAUGAAGCUUUACUGUAGCCUGAUAUUGGGUUCGGGCUCUUCUUGCGCAGAAUAGGUGGGAGGCAUUGAGAGUACCCUUGUGGGGGUACUGGAGCCAUCAGUGAGAUACCACUCUGGAAGAGCUAGAAUUCUAACUUUAAGCCGUUAUCCGGCUAAAGAACAGUUUCAGGUGGGCAGUUUGACUGGGGCGGUCGCCUCCUAAAAAGUAACGGAGGCGCGCAAAGGUUCCCUCAGACUGGACAGAAAUCAGUCGUAGAGUGUAAAGGCAGAAGGGAGCUUGACUGUAAGACCUACAAGUCGAACAGGAACGAAAGUUGGCCUUAGUGAUCCGACGGUGCCGCGUGGAAGGGCCGUCGCUCAACGGAUAAAAGUUACUCUAGGGAUAACAGGCUGAUCUCCCCCAAGAGUCCACAUCGACGGGGAGGUUUGGCACCUCGAUGUCGGCUCAUCGCAACCUGGGGCGGUAGUACGUCCCAAGGGUUGGGCUGUUCGCCCAUUAAAGCGGUACGUGAGCUGGGUUCAGAACGUCGUGAGACAGUUCGGUCCAUAUCCGGUGUAGGCGUUAGAGUAUUGANAGGAGCUCUCCCUUGUACGAGAGGAUCGGGAGGGACACACCGCUGGUGUAUCAGUUAUCGUGCCUACGGUAAANNNUGAGUAGCUAAGUGUGGAGUGGAUAACCGCUGA
rnacentral:rRNA from 1 species